rnacentral:rRNA from 1 species
GGACAACGCUGGCGGCGUGCCUAAUGCAUGCAAGUCGGACGGGAGCCGCGGAAGCGGUCGACCGUGGCGGACGGGUGCGGAACACGUGGGGAACCUGCCCUGGCGUGGGGGACAACCCUGGGAAACUGGGGCUAAUCCCGCAUACGCUCCUCUGGUGGUAGGCUGGGGGAGGAAAGGCCGGACGGUCGCGCUGGGAGGGCCCUGCGGCCUAUCAGCUCGACGGUGUGGUAACGGCGCACCGUGGCGAUGACGGGUCGCUGGUCUGAGAGGACGGCCA